AAAUUGAAGAGUUUGAUCAUGGCUCAGAUUGAACGCUGGCGGCAGGCCUAACACAUGCAAGUCGAACGGUAACAGGAAGCAGCUUGCUGCUUCGCUGACGAGUGGCGGACGGGUGAGUAAUGUCUGGGAAACUGCCUGAUGGAGGGGGAUAACUACUGGAAACGGUGGCUAAUACCGCAUAACGUCGCAAGACCAAAGAGGGGGACCUUCGGGCCUCUUGCCAUCAGAUGUGCCCAGAUGGGAUUAGCUUGUUGGUGAGGUAACGGCUCACCAAGGCGACGAUCCCUAGCUGGUCUGAGAGGAUGACCAGCCACACUGGAACUGAGACACGGUCCAGACUCCUACGGGAGGCAGCAGUGGGGAAUAUUGCACAAUGGGCGCAAGCCUGAUGCAGCCAUGCCGCGUGUAUGAAGAAGGCCUUCGGGUUGUAAAGUACUUUCAGC
rnacentral:rRNA from 4 species